rnacentral:tRNA from 1 species
CAACAAGUAGUUUAAUUAAAAAUUUAAACUUUGGGAGUUUAAKAUAUAUAUAUAUAUUGUUGA